CCCUUAGAUGUUCUGGGCUGCACGUGUGCUACAAUGUGCCACAUAUAGAGUCUCCUUCACUUAACGGUGCGGGGAAUCUACUAGUAUGGUGCUAGAUGGGGCUUGAUGAUUGAAAUUUUCCAUCACAAACUAGGAAUUCCUAGUAUGUGUACGUCAACAACGUAUAUAGAAUACGUCCCUGCCCUUUGUACACACCGCCCGUCGCUCCUACCGACUGAAUGAUCCGGUGAACUCUUCGGAGCUGUGGUCAUAUACGUUUCCGUUAUGAUCUAUUAGCGAAGUCGCGUAAACCUUAUCAUUUGGAGGAAGGAGAAGUCGUAACA
rnacentral:rRNA from 1 species